AUUCUUCUUUUCGAUCUUGGGAAAAAAAAUCAUCACUCCUUUUGGGUUUCGUUAUGUUGGUGUUGUAAGAAAUGGAAUCCUUGGUUGUGCUUCUCGAUUAAUCCAGGACAUCACCUAUGUCAACAAAUGCAUCUUCAAUCACAACAUAGGAAUGGUUGCGUCCACUUUGGCAUAAUUGGAAGAGAUGAAUGAGAAAGAAGGUCAAGAGAUUGAAGAUGCAAAGAACACAGUCGCGGACGUCCAGAAGCAGUUUCACACCGAAGAAAUAAUGAUGCCUGAUUUUAGCAGUUUUCAGACAAUUGAAUAUGUUUCUCUUUGUAUUUUUAAUUUUAAAACCUCUCUACAAAGGAUAUAGAAGAUAGUGUUGCUACCUCUUA